rnacentral:hammerhead_ribozyme from 1 species
AUCCAGAUGACGAGUCCCAAGUAAGACGAAACGCGCGUCCUGGAU